CACAGCCCCCACAACGCCAUCCGGCGACCGGUUAGCUGUCUCGGACGUGGACUUGCAUUGAUUGUUGCACUCUCUUUCGCUCUCGUUCUCUCUUCUCCGUCGCCCACGCACUUUUAAUUGAAUUACAGUGGGAACUCUCUAGGUCUCAACAAGGUGUAUACAACUCCUACAUACAUAUGUACAUAGAUCGAAGGCCAGCUGUCAGUGGAAUUUUUCAGUGCCCAAUGAUUGGUCGAAUUAGUGGAGCUUUACUGUACCACCAUUCACCGAGAAGGCAACGGCAUUUUUCGAUUGUAUUCACGUGCCGGUUCAAAAAAGUGGCCGAGCCGAGCGCCCCGACCCCCGACAGACAGUCGGCCUCUUCCCGGUCGGCGUCGCUGUUGCUACGUGCCGUUUGUCUCGCAUCACCCAGCCCUAGCCCUGCCCCGCUGCCCUACAACUUGUGGUCGGUGGUGACAGUGGAUUCCAUUCCAGUGGAUUCUGGUUCGGGUCGUUCUGUUGUUCUUCUUUCUCUCUCCCACAUUCCGCGGCCUUGCGGCGAGGGCGCUUUUGUUUGUUUGUGUGUUAAAAGAGAAAAACAACUUAAUAAUAAUUAUAAAAAAGAGACAAAAGAUAUAUUGAUAGACAAGAGCGAUGUAGCGGGAAAAUUCUAUACAAAGCGAUACAAAUAAAGCAGACCAGACCAGACUGAACUGCAGCUGGAACUUUUAUCUCUUCUCACAUUGCGGAAGUGGGGUGUUACGAAAAUAUGACCCUCACCCCCGUCAGGCGGAAGUUUGCAGUACGCACAAACAUUUAAAUGGAAUUCAGAGGAAUUUCUUAACAAUUAAAAACUAUAUACUCCCUGCACUAAAGUUGAUCUGUUCAAAUACAUGCAAUUUCA